rnacentral:rRNA from 1 species
UAGGAGCAUGCUUAACACAUGCAGUCGAACGGAAACAGGACGCUGUGAUCCCUUCGGGGUGAACUUGUCGCUGUCGAGUGGCGGACGGGUGAGUAAUGCGUAGAAAUUUGCCUUGAAGUGGGGGAUAGCCCGGAGAAAUCCGGAUUAAUACCGCAUGCGCUCUACGGAGCAAAGCGGGCCUCUUCUUGAAAGCUCGCGCUUUGAGAUAAGUCUACGUCGGAUUAGCUUGUUGGUAGGGUAAAGGCCUACCAAGGCGACGAUCCGUAGCUGGUUUGAGAGGAUGAUCAGCCACACUGGGACUGAGACACGGCCCAGACUCCUACGGGAGGCAGCAGUGGGGAAUAUUGGACAAUGGGCGCAAGCCUGAUCCAGCAAUGCCGCGUGUGUGAAGAAGGCCUGCGGGUUGUAAAGCACUUUUAUUAGGAAAGAAAAGUCUGAGGUUAAUACCCUUCAGACCGUGACGGUACCUAAAGAAUAAGCACCGGCUAACUCAGUGCCAGCAGCCGCGGUAAUACUGAGGGUGCAAGCGUUAAUCGGAAUUACUGGGCGUAAAGCGAGUGUAGGCGGCUUCGUAAGUCGGAUGUGAAAGCCCCGGGCUUAACCUGGGAAUGGCAUUCGAUACUGCGCGGCUAGAGUCUGAUAGAGGGAUGUGGAAUUCCAGGUGUAGCGGUGAAAUGCGUAGAGAUCUGGAGGAACACCAGUGGCGAAGGCGGCAUCCUGGAUCAGGACUGACGCUGAGGCUCGAAAGCGUGGGGAGCAAACAGGAUUAGAUACCCUUGUUAGUCCACGCCCUAAUACGAUGUCAACUAGACGUUGGGUUCAUUAACGCACUUAGUGUCGAAGCUAACGCGUUAAGGUUGACCGCCUGGGGAGUACGGCCGCAGGGUUGAAACUCAAAGGAAUUGACGG